UUGGGAAUAUUGGACAAUGGGGGCAACCCUGAUCCAGCCAUGCCGCGUGAGUGAUGAAGGCCUUAGGGUUGUAAAGCUCUUUCGCCGGUGAAGAUAAUGACGGUAGCCGGUAAAGAAGCCCCGGCUAACUUCGUGCCAGCAGCCGCGGUAAUACGAAGGGGGCUAGCGUUGUUCGGAAUUACUGGGCGUAAAGCGCGCGUAGGCGGCUAUCCAAGUCAGGGGUGAAAUCCCGGGGCUCAACCCCGGAACUGCCCUUGAAACUAGGUAGCUAGAAUACUGGAGAGGUGAGUGGAAUUCCGAGUGUAGAGGUGAAAUUCGUAGAUAUUCGGAAGAACACCAGUGGCGAAGGCGACUCACUGGACAGUUAUUGACGCUGAGGUGCGAAAGCGUGGGGAGCAAACAGGAUUAGAUACCCCCGUAGUCC
rnacentral:rRNA from 1 species